CCUACGGGAGGCAGCAGUGAGGAAUAUUGGUCAAUGGACGAGAGUCUGAACCAGCCAAGUAGCGUGAAUGAUGACUGCCCUAUGGGUUGUAAACUUCUUUUAUAUGGGAAUAAAAUGUUCCACGUGUGGGAUUUUGUGUGUACCCUAUGAAUAAGGAUCCGCUAACUCCGUGCCAGCAGCCGCGGUAAUACGGAGGAACCGAGCGUUAUCCGGAUUUAGUGGGUUUAAAGGGAGCGUAGGUGGAGUGUUAAGUCAGUUGUGAAAGUUUGCGGCUCAACCGUAAAAUUGCAGUUGAAACUGGCAGUCUUGAGUACAGUAGAGGUGGGCGGAAUUCGUGGUGUAGCGGUGAAAUGCUUAGAUAUCACGAAGAACUCCGAUUGCGAAGGCAGUUCACUGGACUGCAACUGACACUGAGGCUCGAAAGUGUGGGUAUCAAACAGGAUUAGAUACCCGAGUAGUC
rnacentral:rRNA from 1 species